CCCAGACUGGUGUAAUGGUAACACGACGCGUCGACCGAUCAUGGAGGCGUUUCGCCAGAGAAGUGUAUCCGGGAAUCUGGGUUCGACUCCCAGGUCUGGGC